GGUUCACCUACGGAAACCUUGUUACGACUUUUACUUCCUCUA
rnacentral:rRNA from 1 species